rnacentral:rRNA from 1 species
CCUACGGGUGGCUGCAGUGAGGAAUCUUGGUCAAUGGACGAGAGUCUGAACCAGCCACGUAGCGUGAAGGCUGCCUGCCCUAUGGGUUGUAAACUUCUUUUAUAUGGGAGUAAAAUGUUCCACGUGUGGGAUUUUGUAUGUACCAUCUGAAUAAGGAUCGGCUAAAUCCGUGCCAGCAGCCGCGGUAAUACGGAGGGUUCGAGCGUGAAUCGGAAUUACUGGGCGUAACGCGCUCGUAGGCGGUAUGUCAAGUCAAGGGUGAAAUCCCCGCGCGCAACGUGGGAACUGCCUUUGAAACUGGCAAACGGGAGUGUGGGAGAGGAUAGUGGAAUUCGAGGUGUAGGAGUGAAAUCCGUAGAUAUCUGGAGGAACAUCAGUGGCGAAGGCGACUAUCUGGCACAUAACUGACGCUGAGGAGCGAAAGCGUGGGUAGCAAACAGGAUUAGAUACCCGAGUAGUC